UACGUAGGGGGGCGAGCGUUGUCCGGAUUUAUUGGGCGUAAAGAGCUCGUAGGUGGCGGGACAAGCGUGCGGUGAAAGCUCGGGGCUCAACCCCGCGUCGGCCGUGCGAACUGUUUUUGCUUGAGCACUGUAGAGGCAGGCGGAAUUCCGGGUGUAGCGGUGGAAUGCGUAGAGAUCCGGAAGAACACCGGUGGCGAAGGCGGGUCUCUGGACAGUUCCUGACACUGAGGCACGAAGGCCAGGGGAGCAAACGGG
rnacentral:rRNA from 1 species